CUUGGAGCAGCGGUGUGCGUCUGGUUCUUUUGUGUUCCACAGCGACACCUGGCCUCCACUUUUCUCACCAGCCUGCUCAAGAGAGAGUGUUGCCAAAUCAGGCCCUGGGUUUUGCUGGGUGAGGACAGGGCUUUAAAUCUGACUCUUGGGCAAAUGCUCUGGCCCAGCCCUCAGUGAUGGAGCUCUGCAAGUGCUCUCCAGCACCACGGAAAAAGUGCUGCUUCCAGAACUGUGUCUGGAAAGAUUGGGGGUUUCUGGAGCCUCCAGAAGCUGUGAGAGAUGAACAGACAGAAUUAAAAUGCAUUGUCAUGUCCUUGGCAGUGCUGUGAGUGGGGGCAGCUCCUUGAUCCAGUGUUGUGAUCCUUGUCCUGUGCUACAUUCACAUGGAAUUUGGAGUUUUCCUUCUUGGCCAGCUAGGUGAGGGAGGCAGUUCCCAGCUUUGCUCUGUGGUAGAGCUACAUCCUAGAGGAGUGGUGCAAUCAAAUGGGCACUGCCACUCUGUGCCUCAGAAAUCUAACAGCUCAUUAAAAAUAAACAAAUAAAAAUAUGUAUUUUUA